rnacentral:rRNA from 1 species
AACGACUCUCGGCAACGGAUAUCUCGGCUCUCGCAUCGAUGAAGAACGUAGCGAAAUGCGAUACUUGGUGUGAAUUGCAGAAUCCCGUGAACCAUCGAGUCUUUGAACGCAAGUUGCGCCCGAGACCUUUGGUUGAGGGCACGUCUGCCUGGGCGU